UACGUAGGGUGCGAGCGUUGUCCGGAAUUAUUGGGCGUAAAGAGCUCGUAGGCGGUCUGUCGCGUCGGUCGUGAAAACUUGGGGCUUAACCCUGAGCUUGCGGUCGAUACGGGCAUGACUGGAGUUCGGCAGGGGAGACUGGAAUUCCUGGUGUAGCGGUGAAAUGCGCAGAUAUCGGGAGGAACACCUGUGGCGAAAGCGGCUCACUGGACCACAACUGACGCUGAGGCGCGAAAGCUAGGGGAGCAAACAGG
rnacentral:rRNA from 1 species